rnacentral:lncRNA from 1 species
GUUAAUUUCUUUCUACAUGUAAGCCUUGCUUAAUCUGCUUAAUAUAACUCCUAACACAUGCAUGGUUAAUGUUCUCCAGAGGGAUACGAUUCAUUUGACUCGGAUGCGAAUAUCACCAUCAAAUGGGAUAUUAUGGCAUGGACUGCUGAUGGCUAUGUGGUAAGCAUUUUUAUCUAUUAUCUAUUAUUAAUGUUUUCCUUAGGUUUUUGUUGUGUGAUAUAUACUUACUGUUGAUUGAGGUUUGUUGUCAAAAGUAUAGGUGUCAGACGGGAUGAGCCGGCCUAGCACGGCACGAGCCCAGUCCGUUUAAAUAACACACGACACGAUACGAGCACGAAUAGCAAUGGGCCGUGCUCGGCACAGAGACAAAUGUACUAGUUGUUGUGGCCCAAACAAUUACGGCAACUAGUUUCCUCAUUUAGUCCUCUCGGGCCAUCUCUAAGGUGUGUAUAAUGCCAUAGGGGUUUUUGGCCCAAACUCCAUUUGUGGACAGCCCAACUCCAACUAGCGAAAUUGUAUAACGUUGGACCGCCAUAUAUGGACCUCAGACGAGAUCUGUAUUUUUAGCCGCACAAUUAAUUGAGUGGCUUAGAUUUAAAGUUUCUUUUAAGCUACAAGACACUCAAUCCUCAUCCUAUCCUUCAAAGGGAUCACGUGCCUCUCUCUUAUCUCUGUUUUGCUAUUCUAACUAGAGGUGUCAAACGGGCCGUGUCGGGCCGGCCGGUCCCAUUUAUACUUGUACUUUUAACGUUUUCGUGUCCUGUCGGGCCAGUUCAUUUAAUUUAUCGGGCUAUGCCGUGCCGGCCCAUUUAGUAAAAUCAUUGAUCAUGCCCGACCCAAUGCCUAUGUCCACAUCGAAACGGGCCGGGCCGGGCUCUUGUCGUGCCCGUGCCAUACUCGGGCCCAACAACCAACAUAUUUAAUUUGAAUUUUUUCACUUGAUUUUUUUUCCACUAGAUAAUUCAAAUUAUAAACAUUAAAAAUAUAAUUAGAGGCAAGAAAUGAUGAACUAUUUGAAAACAUUAAUCAAUCAAACAUCCAGACAAUAUAAAAGGGCGGAGGGCAAAAAGUGUUCAACUCUACAAAGUCCACUUCAACUUUUCAUCUUCAAACAACUUAUUAUUUUAUAUAUGAAGAAAUGUCUUGCUUUGAUUAUAAGAGAAGCGUAUAUGUCAUAUGUACUGAUUAGAUAUCAAGUCCAAUGUUUUUAAUUAAUUUGUAGUUGAUAUGUUUAAUUAAUUAAGGAUCCAAGUAAUUUCCCUAAAAUGAAAGACAUCAAAUAUAUGUUUAUGAUUAUAAAAAAUUUUAAAAAAUAUAUAUAAACAAUGAUAUUAGAUGUCAAAUUUUUGCAUUUUGACUUUUGGGAAAGGGAAAAAAAAAAAAAGUUAAGUUGGCCGUGCUUGAAGCGGGCUCGGGCUAAGCCCGCCCAUGUCGGCAAACAAGUCGCAUUGCUUCUUCUCACCCUAGCCUCCACCAGCUUCUUCGGUGCAUGUAUUAUACUUUUCCCUUUCUUCCCCUGUAAUUUUGAGUUAAAAGUUGUAACCCAUGGGUUAGUUAAUUUCUUUCUACAUGUAAGCCUUGCUUAAUCUGCUUAAUAUAACUCCUAACACAUGCAUGGUUAAUGUUCUCCAGAGGGAUACGAUUCAUUUGACUCGGAUGCGAAUAUCACCAUCAAAUGGGAUAUUAUGGCAUGGACUGCUGAUGGCUAUGUGGUAAGCAUUUUUAUCUAUUAUCUAUUAUUAAUGUUUUCCUUAGGUUUUUGCUAUGUGAUAUAUACUUACUGUUGAUUGAGGUUUUUAUGGGAUAUUAGGCUUGGGAUCUGUCAUUUUAAUGGUUUAGUGAGCCACAAAUAAUUGGGUUUCUGGGUUUUUAUUUUGAUGGUUUUUCAAUCGAGUUUCUGGUAUUCAUGCAGAAAAUUGCAUAAAUCCGUCCUCUUACUAAAACCAUGCUCUUAUAAAUUAUAAUUUUGUGGGAGAUUUGAAUGAGUUUCAAAUUGAGGACAGUAAUAUGGGUAUGUGGGUACGAUUUUUUGGAAGAGCUGAAUGGCCUUGAUGGAGUUGGGGCUGUUUACGGAGAGAGGCUGGUGUGGUGGGCUUGGGGGCUGAGGGAGAAGGUUAGGGAAGUGGGGGAAGAGGUGUCAAAAGGGACAGGCUGGCCCAGCCUGUUUAAAUGAGGCACACAAAUAUCGAUGGGCUGUGCUCGGCACAACACAAAAACUUGGGCCGAGCCAGGAUAAAAAAUGAUGUCUAAUGGAUCGGGCUGGCCCACGGCCCGACAUGGGCCUGGCUUGGCCUGAGCCCGCUUCAAGCACAGCCCACUUUACUUUUUUUUUCUUUCUCCAAAGUCAAAAUACAAAAAUUUGACAUCUAAUAUCAUUGUUUAUAUGAUUUUUUUUAUUUUGUAAUCAUAAACAUAUAUUUGAUGUCUUUCAUUUUAGGGAAAUUACUAGGAUCCUUAAUUAAUUAAACAUAUCAACUACAAAUUAAUUAAACAACAUUGGACUUGAUAUCUAAUCAGUACAUACGACAAUACGCUUCUCUUAUAAUCAAAGCCAGACAUUUCUUCACAUUUCUUCACAUAUAAAAUAAUAAGUUGUUUAAAGAUGAAAAGUUGAAGUGGACUUUGUGGAGUUGGACAAUUUUUGCCCUCCGCCCUUUUAUAUCGUUUAAAUAUUUGGUUGAUUAAUGUUUUCAAAUAGUUCAUCAUUUCUUGCCUCUAAUUAUAUUUUUAAUGUUUAUAAUUUGAAUUAUCUAGUGGAAAAAAAAAAUUGAGUGAAAAAAUUCAAAUUAAAUAUGUUGGUUCUUGGGCCCAAGUAUGGUACGAGCACAAGCACGGGCACGACACAAGCCCGGCCCGGCCCGUUUCAAUGAGGACAUGAGCUUUGGGUCCGGCGGGAUCAAUGAUUUUACUAAAUGGGCCGGCAUGGCGUAGCCCGAUAAAUUAAAUGGACUGGCCCGGCAUGAAACGAAAACGUUAAAAGUACGAGUAUAAAUGGGACGGGCCGGCCCGACACGGCCCAUUUGACACCUCUAAGUAGGGGUGCUUGGGUUUUUUUUUUUAUUUAUUAAAAGUUUUUCUUUUUGCAAAGAAUUUAUUAAAAGUUUAAUUUCGGAGUUAAUGGGUGGACAAGAGUCAAACAACUAGAGAGGGAACAUAGAAAUGACAUCAAACUGGGGACAACAGAUCUGCUCCCCCAAAACAGUGUUGUGGUUUUGUUGGGUUAUAUUUUUGUGGGCCUGGGUUGGGCUUUAGUUCAUUUCAAUUCUCUUUUAAUCAAUUAGAAUUUUGUAUUAAUUUAUAAUAAUAAAAAGUUAUCUGUAUUUAUGUUAUUUUAGGAUAUUUCAUUAGGCUUGGGAUCUGUCAUUUUAAUGGUUUAGUGAGCCACAAAUAAUUGGGUUUCUGGGUUUCUAUUUUGAUGGUUUUUCAAUCGAGUUUCUGGUAUUCAUGCGGAAAAUUGCAUAAAUCCGUCCUCUUACUAAAACCAUGCUCUUAUAAAUUAUAAUUUUGUGGGAGAUUUGAAUGAGUUUCAAAUUGGGGGACAGUAAUAUGGGUAUGUGGGAACGAUUUUUUGGAAGAGCUGAAUGGCCUUGAUGGAGUUGGGGCUGUUUACGGAGAGAGGCUGGUGUGGUGGGCUUGGGGGCUAAGGGAGAAGGAUAGGGAAGUGGGGGAAGAGGUGUCAAAAGGGACAGGUCGGCCCAGCCUGUUUAAAUGAGGCACACGAAUAUCGAUGGGCUGUGCUCGGUACGACACAAAAACUUGGGCCGAGCCAGGAUGAAAAAUGAUGUCCAAUGGAUUGGGCUGGCCCACGGCCCGACAUGGGCCUGGCUUGGCCUAAGCCCUCUUCAAGCACGGCCCAAGCCCAAGCCCGCUUCAAGCACGGCCCACUUUACUUUUUUUUUCUUUCUCAAAAGUCAAAAUACAAAAAUUUGACAUCUAAUAUCAUUGUUUAUAUGAUUUUUUUUUUAUUUUUUGUAAUCAUAAACAUAUAUUUGAUGUCUUUCAUUUUAGGGAAAUUACUUGGAUCCUUAAUUAAUUUAACAUAUCAACUAUAAAUUAAUUAAACAACAUUGGACUUGAUAUCUAAUCAGUACAUACGACAAUACGCUUCUCUUAUAAUCAAAGCAAGACAUUUCUUCACAUAUAAAAUAAUAAGUUGUUUAAAGAUGAAAAGUUGAAGUGGACUUUGUGGAGUUGGACAAUUUUUGCCCUCCGCCCUUUUAUAUUGUUUAGAUAUUUGAUUGAUUAAUGUUUUCAAAUAGUUCAUCAUUUCUUGCCUCUAAUUAUAUUUUUAAUGUUUAUAAUUUGAAUUAUCUAGUGGAAAAAAAAAUCGAGUGAAAAAAUUGAAAUUAAAUAUGUUGGUUCUUGGGCCCAAGUAUGGUACGAGCACAAGCACGGGCACGACACAAGCCCGGCCCGGCCCGUUUCAAUGAGGACAUGUGCUUUGGGUUCGGCGGGAUCAAUGAUUUUACUAAAUGGGCCGGCACGGCAUAGCCCGAUAAAUUAAAUGGACUGGCCCGGCAUGAAACGAAAACGUUAAAAGUACGAGUAUAAAUGGGACGGGCCGGCCCGACACGGCCCAUUUGACACCUCUAAGUGGGGGUGCUUGGGUUUUUUUAUUUUAUUUUAUUAAAAGUUUUUCUUUUUGCAAAGAAUUUAUUAAAAGUUUAAUUUCGGAGUUAAUGGGUGGACAAGAGUCAAACAACUAGAGAGGGAACAUAGAAAUGACAUCAAACUGGGGACAACAGAUCUGCUCCCCCAAAACAGUGUUGUGGUUUUGUUGGGUUAUAUUUUUGUGGGCCUGGGUUGGGCUUUAGUUCAUUUCAAUUCUCUUUUAAUCAAUUAGAAUUUUGUAUUAAUUUAUAAUAAAAAAAAGUUAUCUGUAUUUAUGUUAUUUUAGGAUAUUUCAUUAGGCUUGGGAUCUUCAUUUUAAUGGUUUAGUGAGCCACAAAUAAUUGGGUUUCUGGGUUUCCAUUUUGAUGGUUUUUCAAUCGAGUUUCUGGUAUUCAUGCGGAAAAUUGCAUAAAUCCGUCCUCUUACUAAAACCAUGCUCUUAUAAAUUAUAAUUUUGUGGGAGAUUUGAAUGAGUUUCAAAUUGGGGGACAGUAAUAUGGUAUGUGGGUACGAUUUUUUGGAAGAGCUGAAUGGCCUUGAUGGAGCUGGGGCUGUUUACGGAGAGAGGCUGGUGUGGUGGGCUUGGGGGCUGAGGGAGAAGGUUAGGGAAGUGGGGGAAGAGGUGUCAAAAGGGACAGGCCGGCCCAGCCUAUUUAAAUGAAGCACACGAAUAUCGAUGGGCUGUGCUCGGUACGACACAAAAACUUGGGCCGAGCCAGGAUAAAAAAUGAUGUCCAAUGGAUUGGGCUGGCCCACGGCCCGACAUGGGCCUGGCUUGGCCUGAGCCCACUUCAAGCACGGCCCGAGCCCAAGCCCGCUUCAAGCACGGCCCACUUUACUUUUUUUUUCUUUCUCAAAAGUCAAAAUACAAAAAUUUGACAUCUAAUAUCAUUGUUUAUUUGAUUUUUUUAAUUUUUUGUAAUCAUAAACAUAUAUUUGACAUCUAAUAUCACUAUAUAAUUACCAGCGCUAUCAACACAUCCGAGCCCCUGAAUGGUCAAUUGGAUGGACCUGGCCAAAAAAAGGAAGUCAUUUGGUCUAUGCUUGGAGCGGAAGCAACGGAGAUAGGGAAUUGUUCAUCUUUUAAAGAUGCAAUCCUUGUUGAAAAGUAAAUUGCUUACUAAUUUCUUGUUAGUAAAUGAUUUACCUCUUAGAUUUUUCCCUUGUCCUUUUGUGUAAUUGCUUUCUGUUGUAAUAGCUUGAGCUCAUACGCCAAGUGUAGGGUCUUAGAUCAGCUCUCAUCUUCAAUGGCUCACAUGCCUUGUAAGUGCCAUGUGUCAUAAUCACAAUGGCUCAUGUAUUUGAGUGGUUGUGAUGACUGAUGUAAGG